GCGUUCGUAGCUCAAUUGGAUAGAGCGCCAGACUACGGAUCUGGAGGUUGCGGGUUCGACUCCUGCCGAGCGCACCA
rnacentral:tRNA from 1 species